rnacentral:lncRNA from 1 species
CUUGCUGCACUUCCUGAGAAAGAAGUAGUCUUGGUAUUGGAUCCGCUCUUCUGAGAGCAUGAACAUCAAUUAGAUUCAAUUCCUCUUCUUUAUUCUUAAGAGAAACCCCCCCCCCGAACCAUUCUUAAGACCACCAAGCUCUCUCGAAUGAAUUCUACUCUUUCUGCUUUCGAGAUACAAGAGUAGGCAAAUUGAUUCCCCACUAAGGUGUAAAACUUUGUGACUCGAUCGUCCUGAAAACGGAUGCGACGGGAAGAAGUGGCAUUUGUAAGUGUUGCUGACUUAACAUUUAGGUUUCGGCAUAACAAAGCUUGCACUGUCUUUUCGCACUUAGGCGCACAGCGUGCCAUUGGUAAUGAUUCUACUACGGUGCCACAAAUUCGCAAGCUGAUCCUAAGUAAUCGUUGUUGUUCAUUGGAUUCCGGAGGAACUACUUCGUUAGGAUUGGGGAAUUGCUGCGAUUCUUCCUGAAUAGCCUGGAUUCUCCCGUCGAGAGUCACUUUGAAAGUCGUACCUAAACUCUUACGACUGAAUAUGAUAAAGCCUAUAAAACAAAGAGCUACUAUCAUUUCUUCAUUAUAGAUUGAGAUCUUCUUCGAACUUAAUGCACAAAUAGAUAGAAUAGCAGCAAAUAACAUCUUUCUAGCAUCCAUAUUCGUCGAACUCAAUCUCAUUUAGAAAGCUUAUCCCCAUUUAUUUUUCAGCAACUGAACGGGAAGUGGUUUAGGAAAGGACUUUUGAAUCGGAUGCGCUCGCCCAGCGAGAAAGGCCCUGACCCUGCCGACCAAGAAAAAAAGAGAACGAAAGGAGAAGAGAACUUCGUAUUUUCCUUAUUUGAGAAGAGGUACAAAGUGACUCGACUGAAAGAAGAGGUCCGAAGGAACAAAGGAGCUCGACUGUAAGGUCCACCAGGUCUCGACGAGCGACUGAAAGGAGAGGAAUGGUUAACCUUGAAUGCUAUUAAUAAAUUCUACAGCAAUAGUACCUCGGACUCGGAAAGUUAUAACGAAAAUGGCUAACCCAAUAGCGGAUUCCGCAGCUGCCACCGUUGGAACCAAUGAAGCAAAUACUUGACCCAUCAUAUCAUCCGAAGAAACGGAAAAUACCAAAAAGUUCGAAUUCACAGCUAAUAACAUUGAUUCAAUUGGCAUUGACAUAAUAGGAAUAUUUCGUCUAUUAAGGAGGAUUCCCCGAAUACCUAAAAUAGAAAUAAUCAUAGAAAAUGUGAAAUAUUUGAUAAGAUCCAUUUCGGGAACGUGGAAUCUAAGAUAAAUUCAAAUGUUAUUAGAUGACAAGCUCGACCGAACACCUGAAGUCCUUGAUAUUUAGGUUAGGGAGACACGCGCGCAUUCCUGACAACAGGCACGGGCGAUAAUCCAGGCAAGCUUCCCCGCAAGCCUCACAACAGACACGUCCCAGCUGUCCGACCGUAGGCCCCGCUGCUGCGGCAAGGCGCGGCAGCCCUCUGACCCUGCGAAAAAGAGCUUCCCAUCGGUUCAGGCACCAUUUUUUUUGAAUAGGUGGGACUUCGGUGAUAGGUUGUUUUUGAUCCCAUGGGGGAUCUAGCGAUUU